rnacentral:lncRNA from 1 species
UCUUUUAUUUUAAGGAAUUCAAAUGCCUAAAGCAUAUGCAUGCAUCAUGUUUAUAUGUAAUAGGAUGAUUGCACUAGUUUCACGAAUAUGACGCAUUGCAUAAGUUGCUGUGUAUAUGAUGUGAUGGGUGGACCAAGGCGACCUCAAUAGCCCACAAGUCUGUCAAUGAGUUUUUGUCAGUCGGGCAAGUACAUGUAGGAAAGCCCUAUGAGAGCUCCUUUGGGGCCAAGUUUUGACAGAGGGAAUGUUGGGGUCAUGUCUAACCCUGAGGGGAAGGACGUUUCGAGAACCCUCUAAAAUCACCCGCAAGAGGAAGAGAUUGCUAGCGUGAACUCAAGCGGGGAAGAAAUGUUUGAUGUGUAUUCGUUGUG